AUGGCCGCGAGGGGCGGCGCGUCCUCGCCGUCGGGACCAUCUUCGCCAUCACCGCCGCGGCGUCGCGCCGUCUCUCCGGUAGCGCUCGGGGGCUCGACUUUGACCCGCCCCCGGAGCAGCCGGGCGGGACGGCGUCCUCGUCGUCGGCCUCGCCGCCUUCGUCAUCAUCACCGUUGCAACGCCGGUCGUCCGUCCGCCCGCGCGCCGCGCGUACGGUGCCUCGCGUCGGUCGGCCGCAUCGGUGCGCGCGCCGUGCCGCAUCGGUGCGCGCGCCGUGCCGCGUCGCUCGCAUCUGCUCCCCUCCGCGUUGUGCCUUGCUCUGGCCGAAACACACGCUCACUGCAUUUAUCGUCUGUACAAGCUAGCUAUACGCAAGUCAAUGGUCAAACUGUUCAUGAACUACCCAUACAGAACUCAGACGCAAGUCAGAUACGCCUCAUACACCGACCAGAUAAUGGUCAGAUCAUGCCCGUACCAUGGUCGGCUCGGUCUGCAGUUAGCGCGCUCGACCGCGGCGCACAGCUCCCUCCAUCGAGCGCUGGCUGCAGUUUCGCGCCCGCCGCAGCUCCGCCCUGCUCCCUUCUUCUCACGCAUGCUCGCGGACGCUGCGUCCACGCGUGGCUACCUCAGCGACGCCGUCAACCGCGUCCAGGGCCUCCUCUGCUCCAGCCCUUGCACGUCCGCAGCGUCUCCAGCUCGGCCUCGGGCCGGCUUCGUUGCCUCUGGCCUGCUCCGCCCCCGCGAGCUGGUUGCCGCCCCGCCGGAUCCAUCUGGUCGCCUUGCCCGCGGCCGGGUGCUUCACCCUGCUGGCUUUGCCAGUCCGCCACGACAUGCGCGCCUGCACGCGCCGGCUCCGGCUCCAGCCUCCUGCGUGCCCGCCGGCUCUGGCUCCCGCACAUGCCGGAUCCUCCGCUCCGACUUGUCACCAGCACCGGGUCCGUUUCGUCCCUCACCACAGCACCGGGUGCGGCCCCUCCCGCGCCACUGCGCCGGGUCCGGCUCCAGACCUCACGCGCGCUCGCUGGCCAGGGCCCAGCCCCUGCCGCUGCUUCGGCUCCACCUCCCGCCCGCGCGCCGGACCGGCUCGCCGUCCGCUGA
rnacentral:rRNA from 1 species